AGACGUAGGGGGCGAGCGUUGUCCGGAAUUACUGGGCGUAAAGAGCACGUAGGCGGGUGUUUAAGUCAGGUGUGAAAGACCGCAGCCUAACUGCGGGGUUGCACUUGAAACUGAACAUCUUGAGGGCAGGAGAGGUUAGUGGAAUUCCUGGUGUAGCGGUGAAAUGCGUAGAAAUCAGGAGGAACACCAGUGGCGAAGGCGACUGACUGGACUGACCCUGACGCUGAAGUGCGAAAGCGUGGGUAGCAAACAGGAUUAGAUACCCUGGUAGUCCACGCCGUAAACGAUGGAUACUAGGUGUGGGAGGUAUCGACCCCUUCCGUGCCGGAGCAAACGCAAUAAGUAUCCCGCCUGGGGAGUACGGUCGCAAGGCUGAA
rnacentral:rRNA from 1 species